rnacentral:rRNA from 1 species
UAGGGAAUCUUCGGCAAUGGACGAAAGUCUGACCGAGCAACGCCGCGUGAGUGAAGAAGGUUUUCGGAUCGUAAAACUCUGUUGGUAGAGAAGAACGUUGGUGAGAGUGGAAAGCUCAUCAAGUGACGGUAACUACCCAGAAAGGGACGGCUAACUACGUGCCAGCAGCCGCGGUAAUACGUAGGUCCCGAGCGUUGUCCGGAUUUAUUGGGCGUAAAGCGAGCGCAGGUGGUUUAUUAAGUCUGGUGUAAAAGGCAGUGGCUCAACCAUUGUAUGCAUUGGAAACUGGUAGACUUGAGUGCAGGAGAGGAGAGUGGAAUUCCAUGUGUAGCGGUGAAAUGCGUAGAUAUAUGGAGGAACACCGGUGGCGAAAGCGGCUCUCUGGCCUGUAACUGACACUGAGGCUCGAAAGCGUGGGGAGCAAACAGGAUUAGAUACCCUGGUAGUCCACGCCGUAAACGAUGAGUGCUAGAUGUAGGGAGCUAUAAGUUCUCUGUAUCGCAGCUAACGCAAUAAGCACUCCGCCUGGGGGAGUACGACCGCAAGGU